rnacentral:rRNA from 1 species
UACGGGGGGAGCAAGCGUUGUUCGGAUUUACUGGGCGUAAAGGGCGCGUAGGCGGUCAGCACAAGUCAGUUGUGAAAUCUCCGGGCUUAACUCGGAAAGGUCAACUGAUACUGUGCGACUAGAGUGCGGAAGGGGCAACUGGAAUUCUCGGUGUAGCGGUGAAAUGCGUAGAUAUCGAGAGGAACACCUGCGGCGAAGGCGGGUGCUGGGCCGACACUGACGCUGAUGCGCGAAAGCCAGGGGAGGCGAACGGG